rnacentral:rRNA from 1 species
UGGGGAAUAUUGCACAAUGGGCGCAAGCCUGAUGCAGCCAUGCCGCGUGUAUGAAGAAGGCCUUCGGGUUGUAAAGUACUUUCAGCGGGGAGGAAGGGAGUAAAGUUAAUACCUUUGCUCAUUGACGUUACCCGCAGAAGAAGCACCGGCUAACUCCGUGCCAGCAGCCGCGGUAAUACGGAGGGUGCAAGCGUUAAUCGGAAUUACUGGGCGUAAAGCGCACGCAGGCGGUUUGUUAAGUCAGAUGUGAAAUCCCCGGGCUCAACCUGGGAACUGCAUUUGAUACUGGCAAGCUUGAGUCUCGUAGAGGGGGGUAGAAUUCCAGGUGUAGCGGUGAAAUGCGUAGAGAUCUGGAGGAAUACCGGUGGCGAAGGCGGCCCCCUGGACGAAGACUGACGCUCAGGUGCGAAAGCGUGGGGAGCAAACA